CGCCAGCAGCCGCGGUAAUACGUAGGGUGCGAGCGUUAAUCGGAAUUACUGGGCGUAAAGCGUGCGCAGGCGGAUUGUUAAGCAAGAUGUGAAAUCCCCGGGCUUAACCUGGGAAUGGCAUUUUGAACUGGCAGUCUAGAGUGCGUCAGAGGGGGGUGGAAUUCCACGUGUAGCAGUGAAAUGCGUAGAGAUGUGGAGGAACACCAAUGGCGAAGGCAGCCCCCUGGGAUGACACUGACGCUCAUGUACGAAAGCGUGGGUAGCAAACAGGAUUAGAUACCCUGGUAGUCCACGCCCUAAACGAUGUCAACUGGUUGUUGGGGGAGUGAAAUCCCUUAGUAACGAAGCUAACGCGUGAAGUUGACCGCCUGGGGAGUACGGUCGCAAGAUUAAAACUCAAAGGAAUUGACGGGGGCCCGCACA
rnacentral:rRNA from 1 species